AUGGCCUAGCUAAAAACUUCUUCCGCCAUAUUAUCAAGGAUAGUAAUUUGGUCUGAGCUGAAAAUUGAUUUAAACAUUUUAAAUAGCGACAACAAUCUCUGAAUAGGCCUGUAGAGCACAAGUUCAAUUGGCCUAGAGUUGGUGAUUGCGUAAGAGGAGGAUUCCCUCUCCAAGUGUGAGCGAUGGCGUCGAUGUCGGCCUGUGGAACGGCGUCGUUGCGGCUGACAGUGCUGGAAGAGGACUCUGCAUCGGAGGUGCUGUUCGUCGGGAUCAGCUUAGUGUUGGGGAUUGCGUGUAGGCAGGCCCUCGGAGGGACGCGUGUGCCCUACACUGUCGCUUUACUUGUUCUCGGCAUUGCCCGCCUUAGAAUAUGGAACACACCAUAGGUUGGGAAAGAUUGGCGAUGGGAUCCGUCUUUGUAAGUGAAUAUUCUCUGAACUAUCAUUAAAGCCUCUAAAUAUGCCUGCACCAAAACGAAAAAAAGAUAUUUAUUGCAGGUUUUGUUAAAACAUAUUUUAUGAACAUUAUAAUCUGUCAGCUAUAUACGAAAAGUUUCUUGUGCUCCUUGUGUAGGGGCUAAUAUUCAUCCUGAACUUCUCUUGGUUGUGUUCCUUCCUGCACUUCUCUUUGAGAGUUCAUUUUCAAUGGAAGUGCACCAGAUAAAGGUCUGCAGAAAUUCUUCCUUAUUUUGUAUCUUUGCAUUUCUUUAAUAAUUCAACAAUUUACUAGUCUCUUGAUACAUAACUCUGCCUCCCUAACAUUGCAUCUAUAUCUGGAUGUUUUCACAAUGUUAUUAUUAUCUGCCAUAAACCGAUAAACCGCCGUAUGCCAUUGUCAACAUUGUGAAUGUUAUAAGUAUUCCUUCUCUACCGUAUUUGGUAAUGUGAAAAGAAUCAGCCAGAUAAAUGAUA